rnacentral:rRNA from 1 species
GAUGAACGCUGGCGGCGUGCCUAAUACAUGCAAGUCGAGCGAACAGACGAGGAGCUUGCUCCUCUGACGUUAGCGGCGGACGGGUGAGUAACACGUGGAUAACCUACCUAUAAGACUGGGAUAACUUCGGGAAACCGGAGCUAAUACCGGAUAACAUGUUGAACCGCAUGGUUCAACAGUGAAAGACGGUCUUGCUGUCACUUAUAGAUGGAUCCGCGCCGCAUUAGCUAGUUGGUAAGGUAACGGCUUACCAAGGCAACGAUGCGUAGCCGACCUGAGAGGGGGAUCGGCCACACUGGAACUGAGACCCGGUCCAGCCCCCUACGGGAGGCAGCAGUAGGGAAUCUUCCGCAAGGGGCGAAAGCCUGACGGAGCAACGCCGCGGGAGUGAAGAAGGCUUUCGGAUCGUAAAACUCUGUUAUUAGGGAAGAAAAAAUGUGUAAGUAACGAUGCACGUCUUGACGGUACCUAAUCAGAAAGCCCCGGCUAACUACGG